UACAGAGGUCCCAAGCGUUGUUCGGAUUUACUGGGCGUAAAGGGUGCGUAGGUGGUCGGGUAAGUCUCAUGUGAAAUCUCCAAGCUUAACUUGGAAAUGGCAUGGGAUACUAUUCGGCUAGAGGAUUGGAGGGGGGACUGGAAUUCCCGGUAUAGCAGUGAAAUGCGUAGAUAUCGGGAGGAACACCAGUGGCGAAGGCGAGUCCCUGGACAAUUCCUGACGCUGAGGCACGAAAGCUAGGGGAGCAAACAGG
rnacentral:rRNA from 1 species